rnacentral:rRNA from 1 species
ACGCUCGACACCUACGGGAGCAGCAGUGGGGAAUAUUGCACAAUGGGGGAAACCCUGAUGCAGCGAUGCCGCGUGAAGGAAGAAGUAUCUCGGUAUGUAAACUUCUAUCAGCAGGGAAGAAAAUGACGGUACCUGACUAAGAAGCCCCGGCUAACUACGUGUCAGCAGCCGCGGUAAUCUGAGCGGGCUGGCAAGGC